rnacentral:rRNA from 1 species
AGCAGUAGCCGCGGUAAUACAGAGGGUGCAAGCGUUAAUCGGAAUUACUGGGCGUAAAGCGCGCGUAGGUGGUUUGUUAAGUUGAAUGUGAAAUCCCCGGGCUCAACCUGGGAACUGCAUCCAAAACUGGCAAGCUAGAGUAGGGCAGAGGGUGGUGGAAUUUCCUGUGUAGCGGUGAAAUGCGUAGAUAUAGGAAGGAACACCAGUGGCGAAGGCGACCACCUGGGCUCAUACUGACACUGAGGUGCGAAAGCGUGGGGAGCAAACAGGAUUAGAUACCCGAGUAGUCCCUGUCUCUUAUAC